rnacentral:rRNA from 1 species
GGUUAAGCGACUAAGCGUACACGGUGGAUGCCCUGGCAGUCAGAGGCGAUGAAGGACGUGCUAAUCUGCGAUAAGCGUCGGUGAGGUGAUAUGAACCGUUAUAACCGGCGAUUUCCGAAUGGGGAAACCCAGCAUGAGUUAUGUCAUGUUAUCGAUAUGUGAAUACAUAGCAUAUCAGAAGGCACACCCGGAGAACUGAAACAUCUUAGUACCCGGAGGAAGAGAAAGAAAAUUCGAUUCCCUUAGUAGCGGCGAGCGAAACGGGAAGAGCCCAAACCAACAAGCUUGCUUGUUGGGGUUGUAGGACACUCUAUACGGAGUUACAAAGGACGACAUUAGACGAAUCAUCUGGAAAGAUGAAUCAAAGAAGGUAAUAAUCCUGUAGUCGAAAAUGUUGUCUCUCUUGAGUGGAUCCUGAGUACGACGGAGCACGUGAAAUUCCGUCGGAAUCUGGGAGGACCAUCUCCUAAGGCUAAAUACUCUCUAGUGACCGAUAGUGAACCAGUACCGUGAGGGAAAGGUGAAAAGCACCCCGGAAGGGGAGUGAAAUAGAACCUGAAACCGUGUGCUUACAAGUAGUCAGAGCCCGUUAAUGGGUGAUGGCGUGCCUUUUGUAGAAUGAACCGGCGAGUUACGAUUUGAUGCAAGGUUAAGCAGUAAAUGUGGAGCCGUAGCGAAAGCGAGUCUGAAUAGGGCGUUUAGUAUUUGGUCGUAGACCCGAAACCAGGUGAUCUACCCUUGGUCAGGUUGAAGUUCAGGUAACACUGAAUGGAGGACCGAACCGACUUACGUUGAAAAGUGAGCGGAUGAACUGAGGGUAGCGGAGAAAUUCCAAUCGAACCUGGAGAUAGCUGGUUCUCUCCGAAAUAGCUUUAGGGCUAGCCUCAAGUGAUGAUUAUUGGAGGUAGAGCACUGUUUGGACGAGGGGCCCCUCUCGGGUUACCGAAUUCAGACAAACUCCGAAUGCCAAUUAAUUUAACUUGGGAGUCAGAACAUGGGUGAUAAGGUCCGUGUUCGAAAGGGAAACAGCCCAGACCACCAGCUAAGGUCCCAAAAUAUAUGUUAAGUGGAAAAGGAUGUGGCGUUGCCCAGACAACUAGGAUGUUGGCUUAGAAGCAGCCAUCAUUUAAAGAGUGCGUAAUAGCUCACUAGUCGAGUGACACUGCGCCGAAAAUGUACCGGGGCUAAACAUAUUACCGAAGCUGUGGAUUGUCCUUUGGACAAUGGUAGGAGAGCGUUCUAAGGGCGUUGAAGCAUGAUCGUAAGGACAUGUGGAGCGCUUAGAAGUGAGAAUGCCGGUGUGAGUAGCGAAAGACGGGUGAGAAUCCCGUCCACCGAUUGACUAAGGUUUCCAGAGGAAGGCUCGUCCGCUCUGGGUUAGUCGGGUCCUAAGCUGAGGCCGACAGGCGUAGGCGAUGGAUAACAGGUUGAUAUUCCUGUACCACCUAUAAUCGUUUUAAUCGAUGGGGGGACGCAGUAGGAUAGGCGAAGCGUGCGAUUGGAUUGCACGUCUAAGCAGUAAGGCUGAGUAUUAGGCAAAUCCGGUACUCGUUAAGGCUGAGCUGUGAUGGGGAGAAGACAUUGUGUCUUCGAGUCGUUGAUUUCACACUGCCGAGAAAAGCCUCUAGAUAGAAAAUAGGUGCCCGUACCGCAAACCGACACAGGUAGUCAAGAUGAGAAUUCUAAGGUGAGCGAGCGAACUCUCGUUAAGGAACUCGGCAAAAUGACCCCGUAACUUCGGGAGAAGGGGUGCUCUUUAGGGUUAACGCCCAGAAGAGCCGCAGUGAAUAGGCCCAAGCGACUGUUUAUCAAAAACACAGGUCUCUGCUAAACCGUAAGGUGAUGUAUAGGGGCUGACGCCUGCCCGGUGCUGGAAGGUUAAGAGGAGUGGUUAGCUUCUGCGAAGCUACGAAUCGAAGCCCCAGUAAACGGCGGCCGUAACUAUAACGGUCCUAAGGUAGCGAAAUUCCUUGUCGGGUAAGUUCCGACCCGCACGAAAGGCGUAACGAUUUGGGCACUGUCUCAACGAGAGACUCGGUGAAAUCAUAGUACCUGUGAAGAUGCAGGUUACCCGCGACAGGACGGAAAGACCCCGUGGAGCUUUACUGUAGCCUGAUAUUGAAAUUCGGCACAGCUUGUACAGGAUAGGUAGGAGCCUUUGAAACGUGAGCGCUAGCUUACGUGGAGGCGCUGGUGGGAUACUACCCUAGCUGUGUUGGCUUUCUAACCCGCACCACUUAUCGUGGUGGGAGACAGUGUCAGGCGGGCAGUUUGACUGGGGCGGUCGCCUCCUAAAAGGUAACGGAGGCGCUCAAAGGUUCCCUCAGAAUGGUUGGAAAUCAUUCAUAGAGUGUAAAGGCAUAAGGGAGCUUGACUGCGAGACCUACAAGUCGAGCAGGGUCGAAAGACGGACUUAGUGAUCCGGUGGUUCCGCAUGGAAGGGCCAUCGCUCAACGGAUAAAAGCUACCCCGGGGAUAACAGGCUUAUCUCCCCCAAGAGUUCACAUCGACGGGGAGGUUUGGCACCUCGAUGUCGGCUCAUCGCAUCCUGGGGCUGUAGUCGGUCCCAAGGGUUGGGCUGUUCGCCCAUUAAAGCGGUACGCGAGCUGGGUUCAGAACGUCGUGAGACAGUUCGGUCCCUAUCCGUCGUGGGCGUAGGAAAUUUGAGAGGAGCUGUCCUUAGUACGAGAGGACCGGGAUGGACAUACCUCUGGUGUACCAGUUGUCGUGCCAACGGCAUAGCUGGGUAGCUAUGUGUGGACGGGAUAAGUGCUGAAAGCAUCUAAGCAUGAAGCCCCCCUCAAGAUGAGAUUUCCCAACUUCGGUUAUAAGAUCCCUCAAAGAUGAUGAGGUGAAUAGGUUCGAGGUGGAAGCGUAGCGA